rnacentral:rRNA from 1 species
GGUUAAGCGACUAAGCGUACACGGUGGAUGCCCUGGCAGUCAGAGGCGAUGAAGGACGUGCUAAUCUGCGAAAAGCGUCGGUAAGGUGAUAUGAACCGUUAUAACCGGCGAUGUCCGAAUGGGGAAACCCAGUGCAAUUCGUUGCACUAUCGUUAACUGAAUACAUAGGUUAACGAGGCGAACCGGGGGAACUGAAACAUCUAAGUACCCCGAGGAAAAGAAAUCAACCGAGAUUCCCCCAGUAGCGGCGAGCGAACGGGGAGCAGCCCAGAGUCUGAAUCAGCUUGUGUGUUAGUGGAACGGUCUGGAAAGUCCGACGGUACAGGGUGAUAGUCCCGUACACCAAAAUGCACAGGCUGUGAACUCGAAGAGUAGGGCGGGACACGUGGUAUCCUGUCUGAAUAUGGGGGGACCAUCCUCCAAGGCUAAAUACUCCUGACUGACCGAUAGUGAACCAGUACCGUGAGGGAAAGGCGAAAAGAACCCCGGCGAGGGGAGUGAAAAAGAACCUGAAACCGUGUACGUACAAGCAGUGGGAGCACCUUCGGGUGUGACUGCGUACCUUUUGUAUAAUGGGUCAGCGACUUAUAUUCUGUAGCAAGGUUAACCGUAUAGGGGAGCCGCAGGGAAACCGAGUCUUAACUGGGCGUUAAGUUGCAGGGUAUAGACCCGAAACCCGGUGAUCUAGCCAUGGGCAGGUUGAAGGUUGGGUAACACUAACUGGAGGACCGAACCGACUAAUGUUGAAAAAUUAGCGGAUGACUUGUGGCUGGGGGUGAAAGGCCAAUCAAACCGGGAGAUAGCUGGUUCUCCCCGAAAGCUAUUUAGGUAGCGCCUCGUGAACUCAUCUUCGGGGGUAGAGCACUGUUUCGGCUAGGGGGUCAUCCCGACUUACCAACCCGAUGCAAACUACGAAUACCGAAGAAUGUUAUCACGGGAGACACACGGCGGGUGCUAACGUCCGUCGUGAAGAGGGAAACAACCCAGACCGCCAGCUAAGGUCCCAAAGUCAUGGUUAAGUGGGAAACGAUGUGGGAAGGCACAGACAGCCAGGAUGUUGGCUUAGAAGCAGCCAUCAUUUAAAGAAAGCGUAAUAGCUCACUGGUCGAGUCGGCCUGCGCGGAAGAUGUAACGGGGCUAAACCAUGCACCGAAGCUGCGGCAGCGACACUAUGUGUUGUUGGGUAGGGGAGCGUUCUGUAAGCCUGCGAAGGUGUGCUGUGAGGCAUGCUGGAGGUAUCAGAAGUGCGAAUGCUGACAUAAGUAACGAUAAAGCGGGUGAAAAGCCCGCUCGCCGGAAGACCAAGGGUUCCUGUCCAACGUUAAUCGGGGCAGGGUGAGUCGACCCCUAAGGCGAGGCCGAAAGGCGUAGUCGAUGGGAAACAGGUUAAUAUUCCUGUACUUGGUGUUACUGCGAAGGGGGGACGGAGAAGGCUAUGUUAGCCGGGCGACGGUUGUCCCGGUUUAAGCAUGUAGGCUGAUUAUCCAGGCAAAUCCGGAUAAUCAAGGCUGAGGUGUGAUGACGAGGCACUACGGUGCUGAAGUAACAAAUGCCCUGCUUCCAGGAAAAGCCUCUAAGCAUCAGGUAACAUUAAAUCGUACCCCAAACCGACACAGGUGGUCAGGUAGAGAAUACCAAGGCGCUUGAGAGAACUCGGGUGAAGGAACUAGGCAAAAUGGUGCCGUAACUUCGGGAGAAGGCACGCUGGUGUGUAGGUGAAGUCCCUGCGGAUGGAGCUGAGACCAGUCGAAGAUACCAGCUGGCUGCAACUGUUUAUUAAAAACACAGCACUGUGCAAACACGAAAGUGGACGUAUACGGUGUGACGCCUGCCCGGUGCCGGAAGGUUAAUUGAUGGGGUUAUCCGUAAGGAGAAGCUCUUGAUCGAAGCCCCGGUAAACGGCGGCCGUAACUAUAACGGUCCUAAGGUAGCGAAAUUCCUUGUCGGGUAAGUUCCGACCUGCACGAAUGGCGUAAUGAUGGCCAGGCUGUCUCCACCCGAGACUCAGUGAAAUUGAACUCGCUGUGAAGAUGCAGUGUACCCGCGGCAAGACGGAAAGACCCCGUGAACCUUUACUAUAGCUUGACACUGAACAUUGAGCCUUGAUGUGUAGGAUAGGUGGGAGGCUUUGAAGCGUGGACGCCAGUCUGCGUGGAGCCAACCUUGAAAUACCACCCUUUAAUGUUUGAUGUUCUAACGUUGGCCCCUUACCGGGGUUGCGGACAGUGUCUGGUGGGUAGUUUGACUGGGGCGGUCUCCUCCCAAAGCGUAACGGAGGAGCACGAAGGUUAGCUAAUCCUGGUCGGACAUCAGGAGGUUAGUGCAAUGGCAUAAGCUAGCUUGACUGCGAGCGUGACGGCGCGAGCAGGUGCGAAAGCAGGUCAUAGUGAUCCGGUGGUUCUGAAUGGAAGGGCCAUCGCUCAACGGAUAAAAGGUACUCCGGGGAUAACAGGCUGAUACCGCCCAAGAGUUCAUAUCGACGGCGGUGUUUGGCACCUCGAUGUCGGCUCAUCACAUCCUGGGGCUGAAGUAGGUCCCAAGGGUAUGGCUGUUCGCCAUUUAAAGUGGUACGCGAGCUGGGUUUAGAACGUCGUGAGACAGUUCGGUCCCUAUCUGCCGUGGGCGCUGGAGAAUUGAGGGGGGCUGCUCCUAGUACGAGAGGACCGGAGUGGACGCAUCACUGGUGUUCGGGUUGUCAUGCCAAUGGCACUGCCCGGUAGCUAAAUGCGGAAGAGAUAAGUGCUGAAAGCAUCUAAGCACGAAACUUGCCCCGAGAUGAGUUCUCCCUGAGACUUUAAGUCUCCUGAAGGAACGUUAAAGACGAUGACGUUGAUAGGCCGGGUGUGUAAGCGCAGCGAUGCGUUGAGCUAACCGGUACUAAUGAACCGUGAGGCUUAACCUU